UACGUAGGGGGCAAGCGUUGUCCGGAAUUAUUGGGCGUAAAGAGCGUGUAGGCGGCUUCACAGGUCCGCUGUGAAAACUCGAGGCUCAACCUCGAGCUGUCGGUGGAAACCGUGUGGCUAGAGUCCGGAAGAGGAGAGUGGAAUUCCCGGUGUAGCGGUGAAAUGCGCAGAUAUCGGGAAGAACACCCGUGGCGAAGGCGGCUCUCUGGGACGGUACUGACGCUGAGACGCGAAAGCGUGGGGAGCGAACAGG
rnacentral:rRNA from 1 species